UGCCAUGAUGUCGUAAUUUGCGUCCUACUCUGUGCUCAGUGACAGUUGCCUGCUGUCAGUGAACUGGCACAGAUGGUUGACGAGCAGUUAAUGCUGAGCA
ensembl:snoRNA SNORD16 Small nucleolar RNA SNORD16